rnacentral:rRNA from 1 species
UUUAGAGAUAGAGGCGUGCUCGAAAGAGAGCCGUAACACAGGUGCUGCAUGGCUAUCGUCAGCUCGUGUCGUGAGAUGUUGGGUUAAGUCCCGCAACGAGCGCAACCCUUGUCAUUAGUUGCUACAUUCAGUUGGGCACUCUAAUGAGACUGCCGGUGACAAGCCGGAGGAAGGUGGGGAUGACGUCAAGUCCUCAUGGCCCUUAUAGGUGGGGCUACACACGUCAUACAAUGGCUGGUACAAAGGGUUGCCAACCCGCGAGGGGGAGCUAAUCCCAUAAAGCCAGUCGUAGUCCGGAUCGUAGUCUGCAACUCGACUACGUGAAGUCGGAAUCGCUAGUAAUCGUGGAUCAGAAUGUCACGGUGAAUACGUUCCCGGGUCUU